rnacentral:rRNA from 1 species
UUCCGUAGGUGAACCUGCGGAAGGAUCAUUCGCACGUAUCCAACCAAACAUCUGUGAACGAUUCCCCGUGAAGCUCCCUCGGGAGCUUCAAGGGCAAGGGCGCAAGGAUGAGGCUGCGGCAGUUGUCCUUGUGCCUUGUCAGGUCAUCUGAUUAACCUUGUGUUAAACCUUUAUUGAUCGCAUUGGCUUGCCAAUGUAUUCGUUCUUACAACUUUCAGCGACGGAUGUCUCGGCUCGAACAACGAUGAAGGGCGCAGCGAAGUGUGAUAAACAUUGUGAAUUGCAGAAUUCCGUGAACCAACAGGUACUUGAACGCAUACUGCGCUUUCGGGAUAUCCCUGAAAGCAUGCCUGCUUCAGUGUCUACUCAUUCUCAUUCACAGUCGGCCUCGUGCCGUUGUGAGUUUCUGCGCGCCACGGCGCACUUGUGCCCGUGACGCGUGUAGUGUAUCCAGCUCCACGCGAUGACAUUUGAUUGCGCUCCACUUGCAAUUGUGUUGUGAUCUGUCAGAGCGAAUGGUGCUGCCUCUACAGCCGCCAAGGCGUCCAAUCAAAGACAUGAAGUUAGGUCAGAGAACCCGCUGAAUUUAAGCAUAUCAAUAAGCGGAGG